rnacentral:rRNA from 1 species
AGUGAACGCUGGCGGUAGGCCUAACACAUGCAAGUCGAACGGCAGCACAGUAAGAGCUUGCUCUUACGGGUGGCGAGUGGCGGACGGGUGAGGAAUACAUCGGAAUCUACUUUUUCGUGGGGGAUAACGUAGGGAAACUUACGCUAAUACCGCAUACGACCUACGGGUGAAAGCAGGGGAUCUUCGGACCUUGCGCGAUUGAAUGAGCCGAUGUCGGAUUAGCUAGUUGGCGGGGUAAAGGCCCACCAAGGCGACGAUCCGUAGCUGGUCUGAGAGGAUGAUCAGCCACACUGGAACUGAGACACGGUCCAGAAUCCUACGGGAGGCAGCAGUGGGGAAUAUUGGACAAUGGGCGCAAGCCUGAUCCAGCCAUACCGCGUGGGUGAAGAAGGCCUUCGGGUUGUAAAGCCCUUUUGUUGGGAAAGAAAAGCAGCAGGUUAAGACCCCGCUGUUCUGACGGGACCCAAAGAAUAAGCACCGGCGAACUUAGU